UCUGGAGCGACGAGUAACGCCAACCCCUCGGGGCCGGCGCGAAAGUCCUCGAGAUGUCGCCCGCACUGCACCAUCCCAUUGCGCACAUUGAUUUUCUGCUCUUUGACAACUGAAGGCCGGAUAGUGUUGUUGUAUUAGGGAAUCCAAACCGUAGUAGGGGUGACCCGGUGGGUCACCCGUUCAUAGAUCG
rnacentral:misc_RNA from 1 species